GGGGAUGACAGGCUUCGACAAUAAAUGAUCUUUUAAAACUGCAAGCUGAGCUGAUUGUCUCAUAAAUCCAAUCAAAACAACAUAACUGCCAACAAAAAUUUGGCUCCUGCAUACGCAUUCGCGUAAGCAGCAUCGCUUUAGCUAAAACUUGAUAGGCUAAAAGCGGUGUUAUAUUAUCAAGCUAUAUUUAAUCUUUUGCCGAGGGAUUAAACGAAUAAAAUCGGCAAAAUCCGUUUCUUUUUAUUAAGAAGCUAAGCUUGUAGAAGUUUUAGAAGUAAUUUUUUGGACAGGAGUUCAAUUCUCCUCAUCUCCACAA
rnacentral:tmRNA from 2 species